UCGCGGCUUAUCACCGGCAGUCCCCUUAGAGUGCCCAACUAAAUGCUGGCAACUAAGGGCGAGGGUUGCGCUCGUUGCGGGACUUAACCCAACAUCUCACGACACGAGCUGACGACAGCCAUGCAGCUCCUGUGUUCCGGUUCCCUUUCGGGCACCCCCGCCUUUCAGCAGGCUUCCAGACAUGUCAAGGGUAGGUAAGGUUUUUCGCGUUGCAUCGAAUUAAUCCACAUCAUCCACCGCUUGUGCGGGUCCCCGUCAAUUCCUUUGAGUUUUAAUCUUGCGACCGUACUCCCCAGGCGGUCAACUUCGCGCGUUAGCUGCGCUACUAAGGCCCGAAGGCCCCAACAGCUAGUUGACAUCGUUUAGGGCGUGGACUAC
rnacentral:misc_RNA from 1 species